rnacentral:misc_RNA from 1 species
UACAGAGGGUGCGAGCGUUAAUCGGAAUUACUGGGCGUAAAGGGCCUGUAGGUGGUUUUGUAAGUCUGAUGUGAAAGACCUGGGCUUAACCUGGGGGUGUCAUUGGAAACUGCAGGACUAGAGGCAAGUAGAGGGGAGCGGAAUUUCCGGAGUAGCGGUGAAAUGCGUAGAUAUCGGAAGGAACACCAGUGGCGAAGGCGGCUCCCUGGACUUGCACUGACACUGAGAGGCGAAAGCGUGGGUAGCGAACAGG